GGAUUGUAGUCUGCAACCCGACUACAUGAAGCUGGAAUCGCUAGUAAUCGCGGAUCAGAAUGCCGCGGUGAAUACGUUCCCGGGUCUUGUACACACCGCCCGUCACACCAUGGGAGUCGGAAAUGCCCGAAGUCGGUGACCUAACUGAAAGGAAGGAGCCGCCGAAGGCAGGUCUGGUGACUGGGGGUGAAGUCGUAACAAGGUAAC
rnacentral:rRNA from 1 species